rnacentral:sRNA from 1 species
UUUGUACACACCGCCCGUCGCUACUACCGAUUGAAUGGCUCAGUGAGGCGUUCGGACUGGCUCGGGGAGGUUGGCAACGACCACCCCAAGCCGGAAAGUUCGUCAAACUCGGUCAUUUAGAGGAAGUAAAAGUCGUAACAAGGUCUCCGUAGGUGAACCUGCGGAGGGAUCAUUACACAAUAAAAUACGAAGGCCGUUCGCGGCUGGACUAUUUAUUACCCUUGUCUUUUGCGCACUUGUUGUUUCCUGGGCGGGUUCGCUCGCCACCAGGACCACAAUAUAAACCUUUUUUAUGCAGUUGCAAUCAGCGUCAGUAUAACAAAUGUAAAUCAUUUACAACUUUCAACAACGGAUCUCUUGGUUCUGGCAUCGAUGAAGAACGCAGCGAAAUGCGAUACGUAGUGUGAAUUGCAGAAUUCAGUGAAUCAUCGAAUCUUUGAACGCACAUUGCGCCCUUUGGUAUUCCAAAGGGCAUGCCUGUUCGAGCGUCAUUUGUACCCUCAAGCUUUGCUUGGUGUUGGGCGUUUUUGUCUUUGGCCCGCCAAAGACUCGCCUUAAAAUGAUUGGCAGCCGGCCUACUGGUUUCGCAGCGCAGCACAUUUUUGCGCUUGCAAUCAGCAAAAGAGGACGGCAAUCCAUCAAGACUCCUUCUCACGUUUGACCUCGGAUCAGGUAGGGAUACCCGCUGAACUUAAGCA